rnacentral:rRNA from 1 species
AUGCGGCCUUCCUCCCGCAUACUCGCCGCGAGGCACCUCCUACGCAGCUCCCGCUUCCAACCCUCCACGGCGGCCGCCGCCUCCUCUGUUUUCCGGCGGCUCGACGGAACCAAUGGGCAGUCCGUGGCGAAGCCUCUCCGUAAUCCCCACCUCGGAGAACUCGGACCAAACUGUAGGGUUUUUCCUGGGAGCGGCGCCCCCUUUGCCCACCUCAACUGCUUGCUGCCGGACUCCACCUACCCGCCGCACUGCGCGCGGCCCCUCCGCGACUUGAGAGGGCAUGCAUUCUCCACAGCUGCCAAUUCAGUGACUAUUGGGAAGCCGGCUGAUGAUAACAUGCAUAAAGAUGCCCCAAAAAAGGACAUUGAUGAUCAGAUAGCAGACGCGCAGAUUCUUCGAAACCUUUGGAAGUACUUAAUGCUGAACGAUAGCCCUGAUUUCCGCUUCAGGCUUGUGCUGUCAUUGGGCCUCUUAGUUGGUGCAAAGGUUAUAAAUGUUCAAGUGCCUUUCUUGUUUAAGCUUGCUAUCGAUUGGCUUGCAGCCCUUGGUGGCGCUGAAGCCUCGCUGGCAUCAUUUACAGAUGCUAAUGCAACCAUGCUGGCUCUCUUUGCAAGUCCAGCAGCAGUUCUGAUUGGUUAUGGUAUUGCACGGUCAGGAGUAUCAGCUUGUACAGAAUUGCGCAAUGCUUUAUUUUCUAAAGUGACUGCGAGAGCCAUCCGUUCAGUCUCCAGGACGGUAUUUUUUCACCUGCAUGAGCUUGAUCUUCGUUAUCAUCUAAGCCGUCAAACUGGAGCUCUAAAUCGCAUAAUUGACCGAGGCAGUCGUGCCAUAAAUUACAUUCUUACAGUGAUGGUGUUCAAUGUUGUUCCCACAAUACUAGAGAUUGGUAUGGUGUCAAGUAUACUUGCGUACCAGUUUGGUUCCACUUUUGCUUGGAUUACUUCAGUUUCAGUUGCUACCUACAUUGUUUUCACUUUGGCUAUCACACAGUGGCGGACUCAGUUCAGGACAGCCAUGAACAAAGCUGAUAAUGCUUCUAGUACAGUGGCAGUUGACUCCCUGCUCAAUUAUGAGACUGUUAAAUACUUCAACAAUGAGCAAUUUGAAGUUCAGAAGUAUGAUAAAUACUUAAAGAGUUACGAGGAUGCUGCACUGAAAACUCAAAGUAGCCUCGCCUACCUGAAUUUUGGGCAAAGUGUUAUAUUCAGCUCGGCAUUAUCCACAGCAAUGGUUUUGAGCUCAUAUGGUAUAAUGAGUGGUGCUCUGACUGUCGGUGAUUUGGUCAUGGUUAAUGGACUUCUAUUCCAGCUUUCACUGCCGCUGAACUUCCUUGGGAGUGUCUACCGAGAAUCUAGACAGAGCCUCAUUGACAUGAAGUCUAUGUUUCAGUUACUUGAGGAAAAACCUGGAAUAAAGGAUGAGCCUCAUGCACAACCUUUGCAGUUCAAGGGAGGAUGCAUUGAAUUUGAGAACGUGCAUUUUGGGUAUGUGCCAGAAAGGAAGAUUCUUGAUGGGGCCUCUUUCACUGUACCGGCAGGAAACAGUGUGGCAAUUGUUGGAACUAGUGGCAGCGGAAAGUCAACCAUACUUAGACUUCUCUUCAGAUUUUUUGAAUCUACUUCAGGAUCUAUACGAAUAGAUGGACAAGACAUCCGAGGAGUCACACUGGAGAGUCUUCGGAAGUCUCUUGGUGUUGUACCACAGGACACGGUACUUUUCAAUGAUACUAUUAAGCAUAAUAUACAAUAUGGGCGGUUAUCAGCAACUGAUGAAGAGGUUUAUGAUGCUGCUCGACGUGCUUCUAUCCAUGAUACAAUUAUGAACUUUCCUGACAAGUAUGACACAGUCGUGGGAGAGCGUGGAUUGAAGUUAAGUGGUGGUGAGAAACAACGAGUGUCAAUUGCUCGUGUAUUCUUGAAGGAGCCUUCCAUUCUAUUAUGUGAUGAAGCUACAAGCGCACUCGAUAGCACUACUGAAGCAUCGAUUUUGAAUUCUCUGAUGUCCUUGUCCGUCGAUCGUACCUCAAUUUUUAUCGCUCACCGACUCACAACUGCAAUGCAAUGCGACGAGAUCAUCGUCCUGGAGAAUGGAACAGUAGUGGAACAAGGACCACAUGAUUUUCUUCUGUCAAAGGGCGGGCGGUAUGCUGAACUGUGGUCACAGCAGAACAACAGUGAAGCCAGUGAUGCUUCUGAUGUUAGCUUAGAAGUUUGA